rnacentral:rRNA from 1 species
AGCGAACGCUGGCGGCAGGCCUAACACAUGCAAGUCGAACGAACCUUUCGGGGUUAGUGGCGGACGGGUGAGUAACACGUGGGAACGUGCCUUUAGGUUCGGAAUAACUCAGGGAAACUUGUGCUAAUACCGAAUGUGCCCUUCGGGGGAAAGAUUAAUCGCCUUUAGAUCGGCCCGCGUCUGAUUAGCUAGUUGGUUGAGGUAAUGGCUCACCAAGGCGACGAUCAGUAGCUGGUCUGAGAGGAUGAUCAGCCACAUUGGGACUGAGACACGGCCCAAACUCCUACGGGAGGCAGGAGUGGGGAAUCUUGCGCAAUGGACGAAAGCCUGACGCAGCCAUGCCGCGUGAAUGAUGAAGGUCUUAGGAUUGUAAAAUUCUUUCACCGGGGACGAUAAUGACGGUACCCGGAGAAGAAGCCCCGGCUAACUUCGUG